GCACUCCCGAAGCCGGGCGGGUUGUGGCGUGGCUACGACGCCAGCUCUGGGGCCGGUCCCGCCCAGAUGCGGCUCACGGGAUCCCUGGAGCUGGGUUUCGGUUUUGCGAGCACUCCCAUUUCCGUGGUCGCUGUGCAUUAGCGCUAUAGCUCCCUGGCCUCCACCAGGCAGUUUAUCCCCAGAACUUGAGGCCGGUGGGGAAAGGCGGGGUAGGGAGAUUGUGGCACCUGGAGGGACUGCAGAGCCCCUUGGCACCUUGACUGGCCCGCCCUUAGACAUAGAGGCAGGAACUGUGGCUCCUGCUCCGAGGCCACGCAGAAGAGGGACUCACCUGCCAGGAAAGUCAGCUGCAGCGCCCCAGCUUCCUUUGCUUCUCUAACACAAGGGCCCUCAGGGACUGCACCAUAGAGGCCAACUGCCACCAGUUAUCAACCGGCCCACUGCUGCUCAGAGAACUUCUCCAAGGUUACCCAGUCCGCCAAUAACAGGGGCAGAAUUGGAAUCCAGAGCCCCGGGCUUAUCCCCCCAGGCUGCUUUCACUUUUCUUCUCUGGGAAGAUACCUGCUUCAUAGUUUGGCUCUCAUCCAAAUACCCCACCUCCCAGAGAACAUGGAGAACAAGGCCUCCAGAGUGCUCUCCACCUUUAACUGUGAGCCUGACAGUGCAGAUCCUUUUCACUGAAAAGUCUGCAUAUUGAGAGAAAAAUCUUGUCUGGGCCUUUAACCGGAGGUCAUAAUGAGGACUGAGUGAGGAGGCCUGCACUUUACUGCCUUUCCCUUUAUUGUGUGUCUGGGAUGUGGCAGGGGGCCAGCUGUGUUUGGGUCUCUAGCAGGAAGACAUUAAGUCACAUUUGUGGCUGCCAGGGCCAGGGUCCUGUCUGCCUUGAAGAGAUCCAGUUGCUGAACUGAUAGAGGUGGACUACUUUCCCUGCAGUUGUGGGGCACAGGAACUGACUGGCAUGGCUACUAGGUAUGGGAUCUGGUUUCAGCUUUGUCUUGGACUUGCUGUGAGACCUUGGCCAAUGCCUUUUCCUCUCUGGGACAGUCUGUCAUCCUAUCUCCACAAGGAUGGGACCCCAGAUGUGCUCUUUCCAUUCUCUGGACUACCUCUUUCCUGUGCCUACAAUGGCCUCCCAAUUAACAGUGAUUUUUCUUCUCUUCACACCAAUUUUAUUG